GGAAGGGAGGAAGCGUAGAAGGUGCCGAUGCACUUUUCCUCUCUCCAGACUUCCUGACUGCUCCAAGAAUUUCAUCGAACAAGACUCAAAGAGGCCCAGCUGCUCUGCGUUUUGAUUCUUCUCCCUCUCUCAGUCCACACUGACCUGGGAGGGGCUUCUCAAACACCACAUUUCCUAGCAUGCUGUGAGAAGAGGACUGUGAGCUAAAAAGGGAGAAAAGCCAAAUAAAAACACAGACAAACCAACCAACCAAGCACUGACGAGCCAGUAAAGAGGGAACUGUGGAGGAAUCAGGGCUGAGAGAAUCUCUGAUACAGCAGCGGAAAUAGGAAUGGGCCUGUCUUGAUCACCUGGCUGUGCUCAGCUACUGGCUGGAGCUACCUAUGAAAGCCUCAGAGCAAACACAUUGAUAGAUUUCAGAGCACUGUUGCUGGGCCCCGGUAUGAUUUUGCUUCCUGUCAUUGGAGGUCUGUGAGGCCCAUUCUUAGAGCCAUGAGAAAUCGCUCCCCAUUAAAGUCUUAAAA
rnacentral:antisense_RNA from 1 species